AUGGCGGUGGAGAAUAUCUGGUUCUUCUGUCUACUUUCUCUCGGUUACUGUGGAUUAUCCGUGCAAGAGAAGCCCAUAUCCGUGGAGCUGAGCUGUGGUGCUGGUCCUGUCCAUGUGGUUCUGGAGCCUGAUCACCCUUUGCUGCUGGAAUGCCACCUGGGGGCCAGUGAGUCCCCCCUCAACGUGACCUGGCUGCGGGAUGGGGUGCUUCUCUCAGAAAGCCAGACCAUCCGGCCUUUGUCCAACGGGUCUCUACUCAUCUUGCCCUCUUCCACGGAUGGCCAGGCUCCAGUGGGUGUGGAGGGCGGAUACAGUUGCCUAAGUACCAGCUCGACAGGAGCGCUGACCAGCCGGGCUCUCACCCUGCAUCUCGCCAGUGAGUAUAAACACUUUCUACUCUGAUUUAUGUCCAACACACAGCAGCUGUGGGUCAAAGAGUGAUCACAGAACCAGAUUCUUUCAAACUUUAGAGGCCAGCCAACGUUCAGGUUUUUGGUUGUGUGUUUUGUUUUUUAAAUCUGCAUCAUCUGGAAAGCAUCACAUUCUAAUUACUGUGUAUGCAUAUCUGAUGAACAUCUAAUAAAUUAUCGAUUGUGCUUUUUGAAGAGCCUGAG
ensembl:lncRNA